CCUACGGGAGGCAGCAGUGAGGAAUAUUGGUCAAUGGACGAGAGUCUGAACCAGCCAAGUAGCGUGAAGGAUGACUGCCCUAUGGGUUGUAAACUUCUUUUAUAUGGGAAUAAAAUGUUCCACGUGUGGGAUUUUGUAUGUACCAUAUGAAUAAGGAUCGGCUAACUCCGUGCCAGCAGCCGCGGUAAUACGGAGGAUCCGAGCGUUAUCCGGAUUUAUUGGGUUUAAAGGGAGCGUAGGUGGAUUGUUAAGUCAGUUGUGAAAGUUUGCGGCUCAACCGUAAAAUUGCAGUUGAAACUGGCAGUCGUGAGUACAGUAGAGGUGGGCGGAAUUCGUGGUGUAGCGGUGAAAUGCUUAGAUAUCACGAAGAACUCCGAUUGCAAAGGCAGCUCACUGGACUGCAACUGACACUGAGGCUCGAAAGUGUGGGUAUCAAACAGGAUUAGAUACCCCUGUAGUC
rnacentral:rRNA from 1 species